rnacentral:rRNA from 1 species
UACAGAGGUCUCAAGCGUUGUUCGGAUUCAUUGGGCGUAAAGGGUGUGUAGGCGGUUGUUUAAGUUUGGUGUGAAAUCUCCCGGCUCAACCGGGAGGGUGCGCCGAAUACUGAAUGACUAGAGUGCGGGAGAGGAGAGUGGAAUUCCUGGUGUAGCGGUGAAAUGCGUAGAUAUCAGGAGGAACACCGGUGGUGUAGACGGCUCUCUGGACCGUAACUGACGCUGAGACACGAAAGCGUGGGUAGCAAACAGG